GACGAACGCUGGCGGCGUGCUUAACACAUGCAAGUCGAACGGAAAGGCCCUGCUUUUGUGGGGUGCUCGAGUGGCGAACGGGUGAGUAACACGUGAGUAACCUGCCCUUGACUCUGGGAUAACCGCGGGAAACCGUGGCUAAUACCGGAUAAUACUUUUAUACAACGGUAUAGAAGUUGAAAGGUGGAUUUCUAUCACUUAAGGAUGGGCCUGCGGCGCAUUAGCUGGUUGGUAAGGUAACGGCUUACCAAGGCGACGAUGCGUAGCCGACCUGAGAGGGUGAUCGGCCACACUGGAACUGAGACACGGUCCAGACUCCUACGGGAGGCAGCAGUAGGGAAUCUUCCGCAAUGGGCGAAAGCCUGACGGAGCAACGCCGCGUGUGCGAAGAAGGUCUUCGGAUCGUAAAGCACUGUUGUUAAGGAAGAACGACAGUAAGAGUAACUGUUUACUGUGUGACGGUACUUAACCAGAAAGCCACGGCUAACUACGUG
rnacentral:rRNA from 1 species